AUUGAACGCUGGCGGCAGGCCUUACACAUGCAAGUCGAGUGAGCGGCGGACGGGUGAGUAAUGUAUGGGGACUGCCCGAUAGAGGGGGAUAACUUCUGGAAACGGUGGCUAAUACCGCAUACUAUCGGAUAAUCCAUACGGGAUUAGCUAGUAGGUGGGGUAAAGGCUCACCUAUGCGACGUACUCUAGCUGGUCUGAGAGGAUGAUCAGCAACACUGGAACGAAGACACGGCCCAGACGCCUACGGAGGCAGCAGGGGGGAAUAUUGAACCAUGGGCGCAAGCCUGAUACAGCCAUGACGAGUGUAUGAAGAAGGCCUUAGGGUUGUAAAAUACUUUCAGCGGGGAGGCGUUACCCGCAGAAGAAGCACCGGCUUACUCCGUACCAGCAGGCGCGGUAAUUA
rnacentral:rRNA from 1 species